rnacentral:rRNA from 1 species
AACUUAGUGGCGGACGGGUGAGUAACGCGUGAGUAACCUGCCUUUCAGAGGGGGAUAACGUCCUGAAAAGGACGCUAAUACCGCAUGAUAUAUUUGUGCCGCAUGGUAUGGAUAUCAAAGGAGCAAUCCGCUGGAAGAUGGACUCGCGUCCGAUUAGCUAGUUGGAGGGGUAACGGCCCACCAAGGCGACGAUCGGUAGCCGGACUGAGAGGUUGAACGGCCACAUUGGGACUGAGACACGGCCCAGACUCCUACGGGAGGCAGCAGUGGGGGAUAUUGCGCAAUGGGGGAAACCCUGACGCAGCAACGCCGCGUGAAGGAAGAAGGUUUUCGGAUUGUAAACUUCUUUUCUAAGGGACGAAGAAGUGACGGUACCUUAGGAAUAAGCUCCGGCUAACUACGUGCCAGCAGCCGCGGUAAUACGUAGGGAGCAAGCGUUGUCCGGAUUUACUGGGUGUAAAGGGUGCGUAGGCGGCAAUGCAAGUCAGGUGUGAAAUGCACGGGCUCAACCCGUGAGCUGCAUUUGAAACUGUGUUGCUUGAGUGAGGUAGAGGCAGGCGGAAUUCCCGGUGUAGCGGUGAAGUGCGUAGAGAUCGGGAGGAACACCAGUGGCGAAGGCGGCC